CUUAAAACUACGAAGGAUAAAAGUACAUUAUGUAAUGUGCACAGAAAGAGGUUCCUAGGCUGCAAGAACCUUCACAAAACAUUUUGGAAAGCUCAUCCCGAGUACAGCUAAUCCCUGUCGUUUGCCGCGUUAAGGCUUAAUGAAGAGACAAUAGACGCAAGACCGGUCUAUUGUAACUAGGGUGGUACCGCGAAUUUUCAACCUUCGUCCCUUUU
rnacentral:ncRNA from 1 species